CCCGUUCGAAUACAUAUUCAUCAACCGCUCUAACUUACUCAAGUCUAGGUUUGCCGGAGAAAACCGAGUCCCUGGAAAGGAAGAACAGCCAACUUGGGCUUGUGCUCUAGAAGCCCAAGGAAGCCUUGGUCUGGGGCUCGCCCGGGAACUGGGGAAAGCUCCCAGGCUGUCCUAAAGGUCUACCAGCGCAGAUUUCCCAGGAAAAACCAAGAGAUGUCGCACGCUCGGAUAGACCCCUCUUCUAAAAUGCUAUCAUAAAUGAGAUUUAUUUUUCUUAAGUUCUCCAUCGGCUCUCCCGGGCUCUCUCUCCUCGCCACUGAGCCGGUCCAUGCUGGCAGAGUGAGGCCAUCUAGGCCACCAUUCAGGGGCAGCUCAGAAAGCCACUGGAAAGCUCGACGGCUGGGUGGCCCAGCGGCCCGGCAGGCCUGGCGGUCAACCAUCGAAAACAAUCGACUUCGUCGGCUGUAAAGUGUUCUACCGACGUCCGCCUCCAGGGCAGCGCAAGGAAUCCAAGGACUGCCCAGAUCACCGCGGGUUCGAGCCCUGCCUCCGCUGGCAAUUCAUCCAGCGACCCUGAUGCACAAAGGAAGAACCCUCAGAAAAGUGGUGGCGAUCUUCCCUCCUGUACCACUCCCUUAGAUAAAGGAGCGGGGACCGGAGCGGGCGGUGAAAGGCAAAGCAACCUUGGUAUUUCCCCUCCCCCCCCCACGUCCAUAGGAGGCCCGGCUUCCGCCACGAAAUGUAGAUUCAUCCAUUCCACAACUCUUCGUUCACCACCUACCAUGUACCAGACACUGUAUUACUCUCAAAAACGCAGCAUAAAUGUAAAUCGGGCCCCAAACCCAGAGCCUAAGGAUUGGUUGGCUCUCUGGAAUGUUCUAAGAUCAUCAGCAUGCACCUUGGAGUCGCCAGACUUGCUACUCUACAGAUUCCAACGCUGGGCAAACGGAUACAAGGAAACCUAACUUCUGCAUAACUUUUACUUCUCCCUUCCUUUUUUCCUUUUUCAAGUACCAAAGGACCAUUAAUUAGAAGAAUAAUUACUGCUACCCUAUAUUAUCCCAACCUGUUCAAUUUCUAUCUGCUGCAGACAAUGCUAAUAAUGGCAAUUAUUGCUUCUAUAAACAUCCCGAGGCAGCACUCUCCGCCCGCGGUGUGUGUGUGUGUGUGUGUGUGUGUGUGUGUGUGUGUUUCAAGAAUAUAUAUAAAAAGUUCCCCCGCUCAUUUGCAUAGCUUCAUCUUUACCUUUUCCCAUUCAACCCUUGCAAAAAGCAUAUCUAUUCAAAGCCCUUGCAAAAAGCAUAUCUAUUCAAAGGGCAUUUAGUCCAUUUCUUUCUUGGCCGGUAAACCUAUUCAUCAAUUGUUCUGCCUUGUAGAUCGCAUUCUAAUGCUAAUCUAGCGUGUUAAAUAUCUUUUUGUUCCCCUUUCA